GAUGAAGAACGUAGCGAAAUGCGAUAAGUAAUGUGAAUUGCAGAAUUCCGUGAAUCAUCGAAUCUUUGAACGCACAUUGCGCCCCUUGGUAUCCCGAGGGGCAUGCCUGUUCGAGCGUCAUUUCACCACUCAAGCCUGGCUUGGUGUUGGGCGACGUCCCCUUUAGGGACGCGCCUCGAAACGCUCGGCGGCGUGGCACCGGCUUUAAGCGUAGCAGAAUCUUUCGCUUUGGAAGUCGGGGCCCCGCCUGCCGGAAUACCUACUCGUAAGGUUGACCUCGGAUCAGGCAGGGAUACCCGCUGAACUUAAGCAUAUCAAUAAGCGGAGGA
rnacentral:misc_RNA from 1 species